rnacentral:rRNA from 1 species
CACGGUAGGGGGCAAGCGUUGUCCGGAUUUAUUGGGCGUAAAGAGCUCGUAGGCGGUUCGGUAAGUCGGGUGUGAAACCUCCAGGCUCAACCUGGAGACGCCACCCGAUACUGCUGUGACUAGAGUCCGGUAGGGGAGCGUGGAAUUCCUGGUGUAGCGGUGAAAUGCGCAGAUAUCAGGAGGAAUACCAGCGGCGAAGGCGGCGCUCUGGGCCGGUACUGACGCUGAGGAGCGAAAGCGUGGGGAGCAAACAGG